UACGAAGGGAGCUAGCGUUGUUCGGAAUUACUGGGCGUAAAGGGCGCGUAGGCGGCCAACUAAGUCGGACGUGAAAUCCCCAGGCUCAACCUGGGAACUGCGUCUGAUACUGGAUGGCUUGAAUCCGGGAGAGGGAUGCAGAAUUCCAGGUGUAGCGGUGAAAUGCGUAGAUAUCAGGAGGAACACCGGUGGUGUAGACGGCUUUCUGGACCGUAACUGACGCUGAGACACGAAAGCGUGGGUAGCAAACAGG
rnacentral:rRNA from 1 species